rnacentral:lncRNA from 1 species
ACUCAGAGUGGGACCCCUGAACCUGACCCUGACCCCUGACCCUGAUCCCUAACCCCUGACCCUGACCCCUAACCCCUGACCCUAACCCUAACCCUUAACCGUAACCCCUAAGCCUAACCCCUAACCACAACCCUCACCCUCACACUAAUCCAACCCUAACCCCUUAUCCCUAACCCCUAACCUCUCUUAACCUCUAACUCUAAACGUUGACUCUUAACUCUUAACUCUGACCCCAACCCCUAUCUCCAACCCCUAACCCUAAACUUAACCCCUAACCCCUAACCCUAACACCAACCUUAACCCUAGGUUCGUUACUACGUUUGUACUAUGUCAAUGUUGAUUAUUAUGAUCUCUGUCUUAGGACUGCAUGGCAGCAAGGGGAUUGCGGAUCUUAUAUUAAUAUUUUUGUAUUGAGGCAGUGC